rnacentral:misc_RNA from 1 species
CUGAGUUACCGCUCUAUAACCCUUUGUGAACAUACCCUCAACCGUUGCUUCGGCGGGUAGGCCGUUCCCGUGAAAAGGACGCCUCCCGGCCGCCGGCCCGGGCCCCCCGCGAGCGGGGGGCCCGGACGCGGGGCCCCCGCCGGAGGAUAACUAAACUCUGAUGCAACGACGUUUCUUCUGAGUGACACAAGCAAAAUAAUCA